GCGAGAGUCAUGGGAGAGCAGAAGUGGACUGCUUGGAAGAAAUGCUGAAAUGAGAGUGUAUGUUCUGGAAACUUCAGUGGCUGAAGACAGGCAACAUAUGGUAAGGGAGAAGGAUGGAGAAAGAUGAAUUAUGGCUGUUCUCUUAUCAGAUAAACUUGAACAGAGCCAUCUUGCAACCACAGCGCAAUAAUGUGAGGAAGAGAGCCAUCUGCUACAAGGACUGGACCAGAAGGGCAGAAGAAGCCCAGGUGCCUGAUGACUUUGUGGAGCUAACACCAACCUUGGGCUGCUGGACAUGUUGUUACAAAAGGAAAAUAAAACCCUUAAACUGGUUAAGCCAUUGCUUGUUUCGAAUUUCUAUGGCUUGAAGCCAGAUGCAUUCAGGGCAGAGGUACAGAGUCUUGUGCUCAAAUGGGGAAAAAGAAAUGCCUCUCCUUCCCACCUAGAGGUCUGGAAGAAUGGAACUGUUCAUUUCUACUUCUGACUGUGGUGAGACAUUAGAAUCUUCUCAGUCAGGGUUAGGCUCUUGUAAUUUUCAAUGCUUUUUGGUUGAGAUCGACUUAGUGUGUCCCAUUACAGAGAACAUUCCGUGAGGUGGUGUCUGGGAUCCUGCUUUUCCACUUUGGUUCCCACCACACCUUAUUUGUUUAUUAGGUCACAGAUAUUUCUUCAAAGACAUCCAAGCAGUUGAGAGUUACCA